AGAAGACCAGAAAAGAAGAAGAUGAUGAUGGAAAAUUGAGGUUGAGGUGAACGUUGGAGUAACCCAGUAGUAAUGGCACUGAGAGUGAGAGUGUCUUCUGUUGGGUCACCUUUUUUGCAGUUAGGUUCUACUGCUACUGCCACUGGAUUCUCAUUCUUACAUGCGUGUUCUGUUUCCAAAUUGGGUUUUCAUCCUCUGCGGCUGCAACUCAACGAAAAGUCAUCCCCAAGAAGGCUCGUGAUUCGUGGUGCUAGAACGGAGUCCAAAGGUGCUACCUUGGGCUUCAGAGCCCCCCAAUUUCAGCUUCCAGAGCCUCUUACUGGGAAGGUUUGGACAUUGGAGGAUUUUGAAGCAUAUCCAGCUCUACUGGUUAUGUUUAUAUGCAAUCACUGUCCAUUUGUUAAGCAUCUGAAAAAAGACAUUGUAAAGCUUACAAAAUUCUAUAAGGAGAAAGGACUUGCCGCCGUUGCUGUAUCUUCAAAUUCUGUAGCUACUCACCCCCAGGAUGGUCCAGAAUUCAUGGCGGAAGAAGCUAAGCUGUUUGACUAUCCUUUCCCUUACCUAUAUGACGAGUCACAGGAUGUUGCACGAGAUUUUGGAGCAAUUUGUACACCUGAAUUUAUGCUUUUCAAAAAGGAUGGUCGAAGGCCGUUUGAGUUGGUUUAUCAUGGCCAGUUUGAUGAUUCACGGCCAAGUAAUAAUGUACCAGUCACUGGAAGAGACUUGAGCUUGGCAAUAGAUCUUGUUCUAAGUGGCCAGCAAGUAUCAUCAGAGCAAAAACCUAGUGUUGGAUGCAGCAUAAAGUGGCACCCGGGGAAGAAGUUUUGAUCUAUAAAUUGUAAUUGUUAUGUUCAAGAUAGUAAUCAGUGUGCCUAGGGAUUGAGAAGGAUCGGAAAUCUCUUGAAGUGAUAAAAGUAACUUGUUCCACAAGUAAGCGUAUUGGUAAAGCUUCAAGAGGUGCCCAGAUUUCCGGUGAGUCCUCACUAGGCAGGGACACGACACGUGGCUGAGGCAGUUGACAGACCGGAUUUUGAGUGGCUGUAGGCUACUACCUUUUUGGAGUGUUUGAUGUAUUUUAGUAUUUUCGCAUUUGAUGGAUCAUGAUAUUGAUCCUUUAUUUUGUAUAUGGCCUGUAUAUGUUUUGUACAUGUCUGUCGCUUUGAUGCAUGUACAUUUGGGUAUUCAGGCACGUUAUAUGAUGAGGUAGUAUUCAGAUAUGUUUACGUGUUGGAUUGCAUGCUGUUAGAUAUAGUGGCACUGAGCCAAGUUAUGCAUGCGCCCAUGG